UUUGCUACCCUUCCACACAUUAACUUCAUCAUAUUCAGGUUUAUGAUAGCAUUGUGAAUUAAACAAAGGGAAAGCUCACAGCUCAGCUGAUAUUCAACAUCCAUGGAAAUGGGCUUAACCUUUUCAGAUUUAAGAUUUAUAUAGUGAGAUUCUACUGUCAGAAAAAUUUGCUUCGUAUGUCUACAGGGAUUCAGAAUUAACACGACAUUUGGACAAUUUCGACUGAGAAGGAAGUCUGCAGCUAUGAAUUACUCUACUGGAUCUGCAGGGUUCCUGCAUCUCUCUGCUUUCUACUGAACAUCCAGGUAACUUGCACACAUUGAAACCCACCAUUGUGCUGAACUGAGCUGCUGUGAUAUCCCUGUCAGUACAGUUUCUAGUUGCACCACAUGAGCUUUUAUGGCAGGUUGAUUAGCAGCAUCGGCAUUGCAGCGAGAGUGAGCAUACAUGGAAUGGCGGCCUGGUGGUCAGAGAUAGCAGCGGACCUUUCAAGAUGACAGCGUGACAAGGUGAUACCUCUGAGGAGAUCAGCUCGAGUGAGACUCCCGGCCAGAUGGUGCCAGAGGCCUGGCCUAGCAGCAGAGCCAGGGGUUCCUGGUUGCAGUAGGCCCAGGGCGGGGGACUCCUGGUUAUCGGAAAGGCAGCAGAGGCAGUGGGGCUGGGGACUCCUAGUUGUGAGAUAACUGCUGGUUCGGGACAGAACCCAGCAUCGGCAGUGGUAAGGUGGGCCCAGCAGUGAAGAGAUGGCAACUAUAGAGUGGCAACUGCUACACUGAUGGGUCCCAUGCAGAAGAUGGCAAGAUGGGGGAGGCGCAGGUAUCGACGAUAGACAUUCAUUCAGUUAUAUCUUUUUAUUCUUAAACUAUUCAAAAUGGCGCCAGAUUGUGGUGAAGUUGAAGCUUUUUAUUGUAUCUUGCUGAAUAUUCACUGUAAAAUGCAAGUGACAAUAAAUCAUACAAUUCAAUUCUUGUGCAUCUAUGCUGAAUUUUACCUGUGCUUCUACCAGCUCUUUGUAUUAAGGUAUACAGGACUGCAGGACAAUAAAUUCCAAAUGUUCCUAACUGGAGCCUUAUUCAAAAUUAGAUUCCAUAUCUAUUGUAUUUAUAUAGGUGAAAUGAUAUUGAAGAUGGAAAUAUAAUUAAACUCACAGCUCUAAACUGAACACACUUCAAAAAGCAUUUCAUGAAUUUAAAGCAUUUUUCCAUGCUCUGGUGUUGUGUAAAGGAGUAUGCAAGUGCAUAUCUUUCUUUCUAAAUCCAUACGACUACAUAAGAAAUAAGACCAGGAAUAGAUGAUCUCUUGAGCCUGUUUUGCAAUAUUCAACUGAUCCAUAUUUAACUCACAGUCCCUUAUACCCCUCGACCCUGACACAACAUAUUUACCCCUUUCCAAUGGAUCCAACACUGACACCUGUGAGGCACAACACCCCACCAGACACUCCCCCACUCUGCAUGCCAGUCCAACAUCGACACCCCCAUUCUGCUGUGGACCAGACCUGACACCCCCUUCCCAUCUCUGCUGGAUCUGUCCUGAUUCGUCCCACCUGCUGGGCCUGACACCCCAGGCCCAAUACCCAUCCUCCCAGUUUUCCCUAUCAGACCCAAUUUCCCCAACCUAACUUGACCUGUCCUAAUUGCUGUCUUGCUAUCUUUCAGUCUGCCACCUAUCCAUUGGGCACCCUAUUCUGCUGGUAAGCUACUUCCCUGGCACCCUGACUCCUUCUCAUCUGGCAUCCAGUCCCUAGCAUCUUAACCGCUCCCCAGUUGAUACCCUCACUAGCUACAUUCUACAAACAUGACGCUCUGAUACCCUAUCUACCUGUCA